rnacentral:lncRNA from 1 species
UCCACUCCUCUUCUUCUCCCCAGCGAUCCUCUUCUUCUCUUCUCCCCCUUUACUUGCUUUCUGUUUUUCCAGCAACAAACACAACCCAGUAACAACACACAACACAAAUCUUCCAUAUCUAAUUCUCCAAUUCCAGAAGAAAUACAAUCUUCAAUUUUUAAAAAUCCCUAUAAUUUUCAAUUCUCCAAAUUUAUCAUAAUGAACAAAUGUAGAAUUUUAGGGUUUGAAAGAAAGAGCUUCUGAGAGAUUUGUU